AGCCAGAGAUUGAAGACUGCCUUAGGUCUAGCAUAGUUUUGGAUAGUGAGGUUCUUCCACACUACUCUUGGCAAUUGUCCAAUCUGUUGUAAGUAAAGUUUCUUGAUAGAGCAAGCUGGUUGUUGUAGCAUCUGUGACUGCUGCAAUGUAAUAGUAGCAGCAAUGAUCUUCCUAACCAUCCAACUGGCUUGGUUAGGAAUGGUUAGGGAUUGAAAUUGUUGCUGUUUUAUGUACACAGAGUGUAUCCAUUUUAUCCAUAGAACAUCUUUCUUAUUGGCCAGAUCCCAUCCAAGUUUCAUGAUUGUUNNNNNNNNNNNNNNNNNNNNNNNGCAUCCAGCAUCUUUAGUAUUUUUGAAGGAAUAAGAAAAAGCUGAGCCCAGUAUGCUUGUAUACCAAAAAUGACUGACUGCACCAGCUGAACUCUCCCAGCAUAGGAUAAUUUCCUAGCAGUCCAGGAUGUGAUCCUGUCAGUAACCCUAUCCACCAAUGGUUGCCAUUGUAGUAAUGAUAUUUUCUUGGCAGUUAGAGGAACUCCCAAAUACUUGAAAGGUAACUCUCCAUAUACAUAACCAAGAUGAUUGACAAUGUGUUGUUGUGCAUC
rnacentral:lncRNA from 1 species